GAUGAACGCUGGCGGCGUGCCUAAUACAUGCAAGUCGAGCGAACAGACGAGGAGCUUGCUCCUCUGACGUUAGCGGCGGACGGGUGAGUAACACGUGGAUAACCUACCUAUAAGACUGGGAUAACUUCGGGAAACCGGAGCUAAUACCGGAUAAUAUAUUGAACCGCAUGGUUCAAUAGUGAAAGACGGUUUUGCUGUCACUUAUAGAUGGAUCCGCGCCGCAUUAGCUAGUUGGUAAGGUAACGGCUUACCAAGGCAACGAUGCGUAGCCGACCUGCGAGGGUGGUCUGCCACACUGGAACUGAGACACGGUCAAGACUCCUACGGGCGGCAUCAGUAGGGAAUCUUCCGCAAUGGGCGAAAGCCUGACGGAGCAACGACGCGUGAGUGAUGAAGGUCUUCGGAUCGUAAAACUCUGUUAUUAGGGAAGAACAAAUGUGUAAGUAACUAUGCACGUCUUGACGGUACCUAAUCAGAAAGCCACGGCUAAGUACGUG
rnacentral:rRNA from 1 species